UACGUAGGGAGCAAGCGUUGUCCGGAAUCAUUGGGCGUAAAGCGCGCGUAGGCGGCCCGGUAAGUCCGUUGUAAAAGUCGAAGGCUCAACCUUCGAAAGCCGAUGGAUACUGCCGGGCUAGAGUUCGGAAGAGGCGAGUGGAAUUCCUGGUGUAGCGGUGGAAUGCGCAGAUAUCAGGAGGAACACCUAUAGCGAAGGCAGCUCGCUGGUACGACACUGACGCUAAGGCGCGAAAAGCGUGGGGAGCGAACAGG
rnacentral:rRNA from 1 species